UAAGUUACCAAGCUGCUGUGAUGUUGCGUAAGGUUCAAGUGUACAUGACCAUAUUCAUGGACCUAUCCAUGUGAAGACAUGUCAUCUUUGAAAUUUCCUUCUCUAAAAAUGUACAUUGGUAUCUCUACCAUGGAAUGGGAAAAAAAUAGAACAGAUGGUAAUGCUGCAAUGCACAGAAAAUUUCUUGUAUUUCUGUCCAUUUAGAAGAUGUGAGGAAUGAACACUGUAAUGUAUGUGGAUGUGCUGCAUAAAUUUAAGUCAGUUCCAAAGGGCCAUUAGUUUUCUGGAGGAGCAAGAAGCUGCCUUGGGUGCCACCUUAUGCCCUGCUGUCCCCGUAGUACUCUCCAUCAGGAACAGAUCUCACGGUGGCAACAGGACUCUGAAUUUUCAGUGUUGACUCCUGGCUGGCUGGUAAUGAUUGAACAUACACUCUGUCAACCGAGGUAACAGUAUAAGCUAGAAGCUAAUGAGCAAGGGAGUGAACUGCUCACAUGGACACUGAACACCAGAAGUGACUUUGAUGAUCCACAGACGUUUCUAAGAGACAUCUACAGAAAAUACUUGUGAGUCUGAGUGCCAGCAGAAAAGGCUGAGAAGAUUUCUUUUCAAUGAUUGAGGCAAGAAGAAAAUGAACGAGAAAGGUCCAACUAGUGUUGUUGCUCUGAGAGUGCUACAAAUCUUUGGGUACCAUUUAGAAGAGGAAUGGAACAAUGGAGAAUGAGGCUCCACAUCUGUGAUCAAGCAAAGCUGAUGGACCAACGUGACUCUCUGCAGUGAGAGCAAGGUGCUACUCCAGUGUCUGAGGACAGGAAUGGAGGAGCCCGUGAGAUAAGAGCAGGAGGAAGGCCUCACUGAGGCCCGCACUCUUCUUCCCCAGGCAGAGUGACAAUCCCAGCAGUUGUGCAAGUCCAAACCCUCUUUUUCUUUCUCACAUGCAUCCCAGCCUUCCAGUCCACACAUACAAGUUAAUGUGGCGGGCAGCAGCAGAUACUCCCCAUAUUCUGCCGUGUUUGCAUCAACAUCCUUCACUUUAAGAGUUAAUUUCUGUCCACAAUCCUUGGAUAUGGAACAGUCCCAAGAAAGGGCAAAAGUUAACUUGCUUAACCUAAAAUGCUGGCAUCCUACAGGGUUGCAAAUUAUGGGAUAGCAACAGAAGAGCAAAGUCCCUGGAAAGGGAAGUUCCUGCCUCUCCUGGAACAGAGAUCCCUGUGGUCUCCUAAAUGUCAGUAAAAGACAUGGAGGGAAUUGGAAGGGAAUCAAGUUCUGUGCACAAAAGAAGCUUCAGCAGCAGCUCCCCCAUCUGCACCAGCUUCGGUGAGAUACCUGAGUCUCAUGACAUAAAAAUGCAUUGCUGCCAAUAAAAUCUCUGAAGACUGACCAUCUGUGCCGUGAGGAGGUGCCAGCACAGAGCGGCUGUAGCAGAAAUGGGACAGAGCAGCCCUGACAGGGCGACGCCACCUCCCCGCCUGGGCACGCAACUCACAGAAAGCACUCAGAUGCCAUUUUGGAAGAAAUAUUUUCAAGUUCAUUUUGCACACAUCAAAUAAAGAAAAGACAAGUAAACCAAAAUCUUAACUUCCUUCAUCACAGACCUCUCAUCCCAGGGAAGUCUGUGUUUACAAAAAGUUGUUCUGUGUCCCCUUUGAAUUAAAUAAAUCCUAAGACUAAAACAAAACAACAGAUAUGGCAACAUAAACUUACUCCGUCUUUUCCCGACAUCCCCUUUGGAAGUUGCUGCUUCAUUUAGAAGAACCAUCCCCAUGGUGAUAGCAGCAUCUACAGUAGUUGUCAAGGAAACCAUAGACAGUGCCGAACACUGAAUACUGCACAUCUCAUCUGAAAAGCUUUUGGAUUUCUUACAAAUUGAAGAUUUCCUGAUAGAAGAUUCUAAGAAUUUUUAAGAGUAUAAAAUACUUGAUUGCUUUGUCUCAAGGCACCAGGCUGUUCCACCACCACAGUUUCACUUACAGAUACUGCUGCAAAGGAUUGCUCUUUACAGGACUUUUUACAUGGAUGCACAGAUCUCCUGCACCCAGCCACAGGGCAUUGGAGGCUAGGCAUGUGUACUUUCCAACUUGUUAGCUGUAACGGUACUGCUCUGGAGGAAGAAAAGCGUUUCCAUUUUCCUUACCUUGCAUGGAGUACUUACUGCUGCACUGCUGAUACCAGCAAGCUGUAAGGAAGAAGCAGCAGCACCACUCGAGGCUGGGCAUCUCUGCCAUGCUUACUGCUUCUGUCAUUUCUCUUCUGCCCAGUUAAGCAUCUGGAUUUGCCAAUGGCUAUGUCUCCAUUUUGUUCUGAAUACUAGUUGAACAAAGUAUUAUACACAGACUCUCCUACUGUAUGUCUUUGGCAUUUAUUUCAUCACGCAGAAGUUUUUACUUUUAAUGUGGAGAAAUUCAUGUUUCCCUACCACUGCAACCCUAGACCCCAAGGGACAGGAAAAAAAAUUCUUUCGUUGAAUAUCUUACAGAUGAUGAUGCAGGUACUAUUACCAGUUUGUAAAUAAAACAACUGAAGCUUACAGAGACUCUAAGUAAGUCACUCAAAACAUGCAAACUGGGCAAACUUAAAAGCAGAAACAAAGUGACAGGGAGGUCUGGGACAGUGGGAAAAUGGUGAGAAUGGGGCCAAGGGGAGAAAAGCAAACAGACCCAGCAUACGAUGGUGCUGAAAACCAGUGUAAGAUGCUGAAUGCCACACUAUUUCCAUAAACACAAAAACGUAUUUUACUAUCCGAAAACAUUCAUAUUAGAUUCUUAGAAAUCAAUUUACAAAUAUUAAAUUCCUUCUGAAACACAUAGACUAUGAUCUGGCAUUAUAUGCUCCUAUUUCACAUUGAAAUCAAAUUCUCAAAAUAUUCUGCAGACUA